rnacentral:misc_RNA from 1 species
GGAUGAUGCAAAUCAGAUCCACGUCCACCAGCCAUUUGAUUAGGAUCAGAAUGUUGAACUACAGAAGCAUCCACUUUAGAAGAUCUCUCUUUUACAGGAUGAUAUUUAGGGACUACGACCCUGUCAUGCUCUGAUAAAUCUUGUCUAUGUCCCUCAGUUCCGUCAUCUAUGCUAAGUUCCCUUUCUGCAUGCCUAGGUAAUGAAGCAUCACGAUGUUCCCUACUAUAAAAUCCAUCCACCCUGUCAAAGGAAUUACCAUAACCCUUUGGCUGUACUUUCAUAUCUAGUUCGGAAGAUGCGGCAACGACAACAUCAGCUUGAUAAUGGAGAGACUGUUUUGACUGCCACCUCCCUGAAGACACCUUUUCGAGAGCACUAGCAUGGGCAAGUUUUGAGACAGCGCUCGGCCCAUCCCAUGCAGAAUGUGAAUGUUCGUUAAGCCCAGAAGCCACCUCCUUCCUUGCUUGCCAAGCAUUUGGAUGAGCCCCAGAAAAAGCCAUCCCGCUGCCGCCUGAGUGGAGGGCAUCACCAACUCUCCCUGCAUAAUUCACCGCACCAGGAGUUGGGAACUGCGACAUCGGAGCGAACCUCCUCCCACUUGAUUCAUAUUCAGGCUUCAACUCUGAACGACUAGGCAGAACCCUAAUGCUCUCAUCGCUGAUGGUUCGCCGCGGAGGAGUUACACCACCGAGGGGCUUCCUUUCAUCCUCAUCAAAAUUCCGGCCAAUGUGUGCAGCAGGAGCAAGAAAUGGAGUUUUGUCAUCAAAAUGCCUGGUGGCCGGUGAUGAAUGAGGCCUAGACCGAUGGUCCGACCUGUUCAUUGGGUUCCCCCACGAUGAAGGGCGAUCGAAACUAGUCCGAUCUGAAGGUCUAACGGUUACCCCAGGAGCAGACGGGAGAGGGAGAUCAGUGGGGAUAGAGCCGCCGUGGAAGUCCUUGAGCGUCAUAGUAUUACCACUGACUUUCUUCUUCGACAUCGCUCCGAAUGGAACCCUAAUUUCUGCUGGAACUUUCAGGUAGAUGAAUUGACAGAGAUUUAAGUAGGAGAAGAAAAGAACGAGGAGGAAGAGAAAGCCCGCAAAUCGCUAGAGAUGAAUGGGUGUUAUUGCACUAAUUUUGCGUAUCUCUCUGUUGAUUCAACUCCGGGCGGGGCUUCUCUUUUCCUUCUCACUGCCCUCUCGCUCGCUCCCUCGCUCGCGGACCAAUCGAACGACACGAAAAGAAAGAAGGCGAU